GGGGUUGUGGUUUAGUGAUAGAACACUUGCCUGGCAUGUUUGAGGCACUGGGUUCAAUCCUCAGCACUUCA
rnacentral:tRNA from 1 species